GGGAAUGUGGCUUAGUGGUAGAGUGCUUGCCUAACAUGCAUGAAGUCCUGGGUUUGAUUCCUCAGUACUA
rnacentral:tRNA from 1 species